CCGUUUGACCAGUGAGUGUGGAACUUGAGCACGUCAUUUUCGCGGUAAUAUCUCGCAACAACAGCGCUCUGCAGAAGAAAAAAUACUCUCGAGAAGGGUUAUGAAAAUGUGUGUUAAACAUGGCAACGUACGUCUUUAACCUUUUUAGCACUGUAUUGGACCUCCUUGAAGGCAAAGGAGCGAGAGGGGAAAACUUUAAAAGAGCAUGUGGAUCAAGAUUAUGAAAAAACUUUAAGUUAAGCAUUUAUAAGAUGGAGCACUGGCCCCCUGGAAAUCUUUGUUGCUCCAGCCACAUCUGUUGCAAAUUCCUGAGAGGGGUUGAUGUCAAUGUUCCCCCAGCCAAUAUCAAGACUAUUAUUUUCAGGAACCUGUUGGUUCCCAGAUCACCCAGAACGAUUAAUUUACCAAGUGGAGAGAUCCAGUUGCAGCUGUUCUCGACUCACUGAAGUGAGCCUUCAAGCAAUGUGACGCAUCUCUGAUAAUAUAGAAUAUAAAUAAGCCUUAGAAUUAAUAUAUAAAUAUUAAAUAUUAAAAUAUUAAAAUAGGCUACAUAAGAGCUUAGAGUUCACAUGCACUGACAUGGCUAGAUGUUUUCUUGUGGUUGUCCUCUUGCACGGACAGCUCUUUUCACCUUGCUGUGAAAUUUGUAGUGGUUUCACUGGAUAUAUUACACAUUCUACGACUUUUUCAAUCUGUUAAUCCUUAGCAGUUUUUUGAGAGAAGAGAAUAACAGUUAAAAGGCAUAUGAUUUGCUGUUCUUUACUGAUGUCACGCUUUUAAGUGCAUACGCUCCAUAAACUCAAAGCCUGAGAUGACAGAGAAAGUUGUUGAUCAGCAUCAUGGUACCAUCAAAGCAGCAUUGGAUUGGAUUGGUUUUGUCAACUCAGAAAUAAUUCUGUAACCCUGAGUUUGUUCAGCCACCAUCAUGGUACAAGCCCCCUGG